CUUAAUGAUCAGCUAUGAAAAGCCAACUGACAUUUACUCCUGAGUUGUAGUUCUGUUCUAGUGCCCUCUCCUGGAUGACAGAGGCUCUCUUUCAGAGUAACUUGAUAAAGCCCACAUGUCCUCCACCCGCUCUGAGAUCUGACCCAUGUCUGAUGGAGAACAGUGAAAUCUAGACACUCGCACACACACCUCUUAGCAAUCCAUCGAUGUCGAUGAUGACGAAUGUUCCUCUUGUGUUCCUCCUGUGGUUCGGGGAAAUGCCAAAGAUGGACUCGAUGCUCAUUCAGCCAUCCUUUCAAUGUUGUUUUUCAACUUUGAUUAUUUGAACUGCUGCCAUUUUGUAUGUGGACUAUUGUUGCUCUUCUAUGUUACUUUGUUGUUCCUAUGUUGGUCUAGAAAUCUUGUUCCUGUGGCUUAUAGAAUGAAUGGGCAAUCUGUUCUCAAUGUAAUAUGUACAAACAUUUUUAAAGGUGCAAUUCAAAUAUCUCUACCCCCAUAAUGACAUGACCAAGUACAAACACAUUCAACCUGACACAAAUACAAAAACAUAGAUUGUAUGUUGGUUUUACACUUGAAAAAAUGCUCCACUAAGCGAGAUUCAGCCUUAACCCAUGAUAAUCGACAACAUUGUUUUUAUUAAGGCAAUGUCGGAGGUGUAACUGCAUUGGAGCUGUCCGGCAUUAUAGCUAUCACGGACAUUGCCAUUGGAUGUGCAGACACAGUAGUAGUAAUCGCAUGCAGCCUUGUUACAAGCCGUCAAAUCGGUGAGCAGCUGCUCUUGUGAUCAUUGUGAAAAAGCCACACCUGCCCAUCUCGCAUUAUAAGUUCAGAACAAGAAAGUGUAGGCUAUAUAGAAACAAUUACUCUCAAUUUGAAAAAUCAAUAACUAAAUCAUGAGGAUUUCUAUCAUCCUAAUCGAGGUGUAGAUUACGUCUCAAAUUCCAGUGAUUGAACUUGUAAACAAGGCUGCAUGGGGAUUUCUCUUAACGCUCCACUCCAUGCAGCCAAUGGCAAUGUCCGCUUUAGGUACAAUUUGAUAUUGAGGAAAAAAAUGGCUGCAUUGGACCUUUAAAUGUAGCUAUCUGGAGUCUUUGGACCCUUUUACUCCCUUUGUAUAGCAGAAUAUUUGCUUGCUAAAUAACCUUUUAAGUACCUCUGUAAAUUCUUAAAUUUUUCAAUGGUGGAUUGCUGUAUACAGUUUAAGCACAGGAAUUUCACCAGUAUAUGUGGUGAUAAAACACAUGAAAGUUCAGACUGUUACAACUGCUGCAACCGUUAGUGCUCUAUUUGGAAACUCGGAAGUGAUUUUCCGCUAGUGGUGUAAAGUAGUUAAGUAGUACUUUCAUGUAUUUUUACUUAAGUAGUUUUUGGGAUACCUGUACUUUACUAUUUAUAUUUUUUACUUCACUACAUUCCUAAAGAAAAUUCUAUACUUUUUACUCAAUAUGUUUUCCCUGACACAUACAUAAUACAUAGCAGGACAGGAAAAUUGUCAAAUUCACACACUUAUCAAGAGAACAUCCCUGGUCAUCCCUACUGCCUCUGUUCUGAUGGACUCACUUAACACAUGCUUUGAUUGUAAAUUAUGUCUGAGUGUUGGAGUGUGCCCCUGGCUAUCUGUAAAUUAAA